UACGGGGGGGGCAAGCGUUGUUCGGAAUUACUGGGCGUAAAGGGCGCGCUAGGCGGCCUGCUAAGUCGAACGUGAAAUCCCUGGGCUCAACCCAGGAACUGCGUCCGAUACUGGCGGGCUUGAAUCCGGGAGAGGGAUGCGGAAUUCCAGGUGUAGCGGUGAAAUGCGUAGAUAUCAGGAGGAACACCGGUGGCGAAGGCGCUCUCUGGCCCAAUACAUGCGCUGAAGCGCGAAAGCUAGGGGAGCAAACGGG
rnacentral:rRNA from 1 species